rnacentral:rRNA from 1 species
UACGGGGGGAGCAAGCGUUGUUCGGAUUUACUGGGCGUAAAGGGCGCGUAGGCGGUCAGCACAAGUCAGUUGUGAAAUCUCCGGGCUUAACUCGGAAAGGUCAACUGAUACUGUGCGACUAGAGUGCAGAAGGGGCAACUGGAAUUCUCGGUGUAGCGGUGAAAUGCGUAGAUAUCGUAAGGAAGACCAGUGGCGAAGGCGGGUCUCUGGACAGUGACUGACGCUGAGACGCGAAAGCGUGGGGGAGCA